GUCUCCGAAGCUUAGUCGGUAAAACUCCCGCCUAUGGUGCGGUAGGACUCGGGUUCGAGCCGCGCGGGAGGCA